UGGCGAAUGGUUGAGUAACACGUAGAUAACCUACCUUUAACUCGAGGAUAACUCCGGGAAACUGGAGCUAAUACUGGAUAGGAUGUGUGCAUGAAAAAAACACAUUUAAAGAUUUAUCGGUUUAAGAGGGGUCUGCGGCGCAUUAGUUAGUUGGUGGGGUAAAAGCCUACCAAGACGAUGAUGCGUAGCCGGACUGAGAGGUCUACCGGCCACAUUGGGACUGAGAACGGCCCAAACUCCUACGGGAGGCAGCAGUAGGGAAUUUUCGGCAAUGGGGGAAACCCUGACCGAGCAACGCCGCGUGAACGACGAAGUACUUCGGUAUGUAAAGUUCUUUUAUAUGGGAAGAAAAAUUAAAAAUUGACGGUACCAUA
rnacentral:rRNA from 1 species